rnacentral:rRNA from 1 species
GACGAACGCUGGCGGCGUGCUUAACACAUGCAAGUCGAACGGAAAGGCCCUGCUUUUGUGGGGUGCUCGAGUGGCGAACGGGUGAGUAACACGUGAGUAACCUGCCCUUGACUUUGGGAUAACUUCAGGAAACUGGGGCUAAUACCGGAUAGGAGCUCCUGCUGCAUGGUGGGGGUUGGAAAGUUUCGGCGGUUGGGGAUGGACUCGCGGCUUAUCAGCUUGUUGGUGGGGUAGUGGCUUACCAAGGCUUUGACGGGUAGCCGGCCUGAGAGGGUGACCGGCCACAUUGGGACUGAGAUGCGGCCCCGACUCCUACGGGAGGCAGCAGUGGGGAAUAUUGCACAAUGGGCGGAAGCCUGAUGCAGCAACGCCGCGUGCUGGAUGACGGCCUUCGGGUUGUAAACCGCUUUCGCCUGUGACGAAGCGUGAGUGACGGUAAUGGGUAGAGAAGCACCGGCUAACUACGUG